rnacentral:rRNA from 1 species
GGGUUGUGAGGUUAAGCGACUAAGCGUACACGGUGGAUGCCCUGGCAGUCAGAGGCGAUGAAGGACGUGCUAAUCUGCGAAAAGCGUCGGUAAGGUGAUAUGAACCGUUAUAACCGGCGAUGUCCGAAUGGGGAAACCCAGUGCAAUUCGUUGCACUAUCGUUAACUGAAUACAUAGGUUAACGAGGCGAACCGGGGGAACUGAAACAUCUAAGUACCCCGAGGAAAAGAAAUCAACCGAGAUUCCCCCAGUAGCGGCGAGCGAACGGGGAGCAGCCCAGAGUCUGAAUCAGCUUGUGUGUUAGUGGAACGGUCUGGAAAGUCCGACGGUACAGGGUGAUAGUCCCGUACACCAAAAUGCACAGGUUGUGAACUCGAAGAGUAGGGCGGGACACGUGGUAUCCUGUCUGAAUAUGGGGGGACCAUCCUCCAAGGCUAAAUACUCCUGACUGACCGAUAGUGAACCAGUACCGUGAGGGAAAGGCGAAAAGAACCCCGGCGAGGGGAGUGAAAAAGAACCUGAAACCGUGUACGUACAAGCAGUGGGAGCACCUUCGGGUGUGACUGCGUACCUUUUGUAUAAUGGGUCAGCGACUUAUAUUCUGUAGCAAGGUUAACCGUAUAGGGGAGCCGCAGGGAAACCGAGUCUUAACUGGGCGUUAAGUUGCAGGGUAUAGACCCGAAACCCGGUGAUCUAGCCAUGGGCAGGUUGAAGGUUGGGUAACACUAACUGGAGGACCGAACCGACUAAUGUUGAAAAAUUAGCGGAUGACUUGUGGCUGGGGGUGAAAGGCCAAUCAAACCGGGAGAUAGCUGGUUCUCCCCGAAAGCUAUUUAGGUAGCGCCUCGUGAACUCAUCUUCGGGGGUAGAGCACUGUUUCGGCUAGGGGGUCAUCCCGACUUACCAACCCGAUGCAAACUACGAAUACCGAAGAAUGUUAUCACGGGAGACACACGGCGGGUGCUAACGUCCGUCGUGAAGAGGGAAACAACCCAGACCGCCAGCUAAGGUCCCAAAGUCAUGGUUAAGUGGGAAACGAUGUGGGAAGGCACAGACAGCCAGGAUGUUGGCUUAGAAGCAGCCAUCAUUUAAAGAAAGCGUAAUAGCUCACUGGUCGAGUCGGCCUGCGCGGAAGAUGUAACGGGGCUAAACCAUGCACCGAAGCUGCGGCAGCGACACUAUGUGUUGUUGGGUAGGGGAGCGUUCUGUAAGCCUGCGAAGGUGUGCUGUGAGGCAUGCUGGAGGUAUCAGAAGUGCGAAUGCUGACAUAAGUAACGAUAAAGCGGGUGAAAAGCCCGCUCGCCGGAAGACCAAGGGUUCCUGUCCAACGUUAAUCGGGGCAGGGUGAGUCGACCCCUAAGGCGAGGCCGAAAGGCGUAGUCGAUGGGAAACAGGUUAAUAUUCCUGUACUUGGUGUUACUGCGAAGGGGGGACGGAGAAGGCUAUGUUAGCCGGGCGACGGUUGUCCCGGUUUAAGCAUGUAGGCUGGUUAUCCAGGCAAAUCCGGAUAAUCAAGGCUGAGGUGUGAUGACGAGGCACUACGGUGCUGAAGUAACAAAUGCCCUGCUUCCAGGAAAAGCCUCUAAGCAUCAGGUAACAUUAAAUCGUACCCCAAACCGACACAGGUGGUCAGGUAGAGAAUACCAAGGCGCUUGAGAGAACUCGGGUGAAGGAACUAGGCAAAAUGGUGCCGUAACUUCGGGAGAAGGCACGCUGGUGUGUAGGUGAAGCCCCUGCGGGUGGAGCUGAGACCAGUCGAAGAUACCAGCUGGCUGCAACUGUUUAUUAAAAACACAGCACUGUGCAAACACGAAAGUGGACGUAUACGGUGUGACGCCUGCCCGGUGCCGGAAGGUUAAUUGAUGGGGUUAUCCGUAAGGAGAAGCUCUUGAUCGAAGCCCCGGUAAACGGCGGCCGUAACUAUAACGGUCCUAAGGUAGCGAAAUUCCUUGUCGGGUAAGUUCCGACCUGCACGAAUGGCGUAAUGAUGGCCAGGCUGUCUCCACCCGAGACUCAGUGAAAUUGAACUCGCUGUGAAGAUGCAGUGUACCCGCGGCAAGACGGAAAGACCCCGUGAACCUUUACUAUAGCUUGACACUGAACAUUGAGCCUUGAUGUGUAGGAUAGGUGGGAGGCUUUGAAGCGUGGACGCCAGUCUGCGUGGAGCCAACCUUGAAAUACCACCCUUUAAUGUUUGAUGUUCUAACGUUGGCCCCUGACCGGGGUUGCGGACAGUGUCUGGUGGGUAGUUUGACUGGGGCGGUCUCCUCCCAAAGCGUAACGGAGGAGCACGAAGGUUAGCUAAUCCUGGUCGGACAUCAGGAGGUUAGUGCAAUGGCAUAAGCUAGCUUGACUGCGAGCGUGACGGCGCGAGCAGGUGCGAAAGCAGGUCAUAGUGAUCCGGUGGUUCUGAAUGGAAGGGCCAUCGCUCAACGGAUAAAAGGUACUCCGGGGAUAACAGGCUGAUACCGCCCAAGAGUUCAUAUCGACGGCGGUGUUUGGCACCUCGAUGUCGGCUCAUCACAUCCUGGGGCUGAAGUAGGUCCCAAGGGUAUGGCUGUUCGCCAUUUAAAGUGGUACGCGAGCUGGGUUUAGAACGUCGUGAGACAGUUCGGUCCCUAUCUGCCGUGGGCGCUGGAGAAUUGAGGGGGGCUGCUCCUAGUACGAGAGGACCGGAGUGGACGCAUCACUGGUGUUCGGGUUGUCAUGCCAAUGGCACUGCCCGGUAGCUAAAUGCGGAAGAGAUAAGUGCUGAAAGCAUCUAAGCACGAAACUUGCCCCGAGAUGAGUUCUCCCUGAGACUAUAAGUCUCCUGAAGGAACGUUGAAGACGACGACGUUGAUAGGCCGGGUGUGUAAGCGCAGCGAUGCGUUGAGCUAACCGGUACUAAUGAACCGUGAGGCUUAACCUUACAACGCCGAAG